AAAAUAUUUAACUAAUGUAAGGAGAUGCCGGACUUAUAAAUUAGUGAUAACCCGAUUUUAAAUAUAAAACAGGAGAAAUAUGGUUAAAGCUGUUAAGUUUUAUUAUAUAAUGAUUAUCUUUCUUUCCUUAUUUACUUUUUCAAUGAACAGUAAAUCAAUUUUGGUAUGUAAAGUUAAUGAGGAUUGUCCAAAGGAAUUGUGCGAGCCUGGUAUGAUAGUGAAGUGUAAGUUUAGGAGGUGUAAUUGUUUUACAGUGUGGCAACGAGAAAACUUUGUGACCAAAUGAUUUUAUAUAUUUAAUAUCUGACCAAGAGAAUACACAGAUUAUACGAGAUGUGUAACUAUUGCAGAUUGUCCCACAAAUAUGUGUCGACCUCAUGAAAUGUUGAAGUGUAAGAACAAGUAUUGUAAAUGUUUAACAGUGUGGACCACAUAUAAGUUUGUGCCCACAUGAAUAUAAGUUUAGAGAUAACGCUAUAACCUUCAUUUUAGGCUUAUUGUAAUUUUUUUCAUUCCUACUCCAUAUAAAAAUAUCUAUUAAAUUGAAAAGUAUUUUUCUUAUCUAACACAGAUAAAUAAGUUGGGAUAGAGAUGAAUUUUUUUACCGAUGAAAUUUUGACUUUGAUCUCUAAUUUUUUGGUCGCAAAACAUAUUAACAUAUAUUUUUUAUAUUAUUUUAACCUCACCUUAUGAAAAUCUAGCUUAU